UGAGGAAUAUUGGUCAAUGGGCGAGAGCCUGAACCAGCCAAGUCGCGUGAGGGAGUACUGCCCUAUGGGUUGUAAACCUCUUUUGUCGGGGAGCAAAAGCCGGACGUGUCCGUCUGUGAGAGUACCCGAAAGAAAAAGCAUCGGCUAACUCCGUGCC
rnacentral:rRNA from 1 species